rnacentral:snRNA from 1 species
GUACUCACUUUGGCAGUACAUACACUAAAACUGGAAUGACACAGAGACAAUUAGCACGGCCCCAGCACAGAGGUGACAUGGAAAUUCCUGAAAUAUUCCAUAUAUUU